GGGGUCACUUGGGGUCCCAUUUUGGGGUCCCAUUUUGGGGUCCCAUUUUGGGGUCCCAUUUUGGGGUCCCUGGGGUUUGGGGUCCCUGGGGUUUGGGGUCCCUGGGGUUUGGGGUCCCUGGGGUUUGGGGUCCCGUUUUGGGGUCCCGUUUUGGGGUCCCAUUUUGGGGUCCCUGGGGUUUGGGGUCCCAUUUUGGGGUCAUAUUUUAUGGUCCCAUUUGGGGUCAUUCUGGGGUCCCUGGGGUUUGGGGUCCCAAUUUUGGGGUCCCAAUUUGGAGUCAUUUUGGGGUCCCUUUUUGGGGUCUCUCGGGGUCAUAUUUUGGGGUCACUCGUGGUCCCAUUUUGGGGUGUCUCGGGGUCACAAUUCGGGGUCUCUCGGGGUCAUAAUGGGGUCACAUUUUGGGGUCCCAUUUGAGGUCAUUUUGGGGUUAUUUUGGGGUCCCUUUUUGGGGUCACUCGGGGUCACAAUUUGGUGUCACUCGGGGUCGCAAUUUGGGGUCACUCGGGGUCCCAUUUUGGGGUCCCUGGGGUUUGGGGUCCCAUUUUGGGGUCAUUUGGGGUCACUCGGGGUUAUAUUUUGGGGUCCCAUUUGGGGUCAUUUUGGGGUUAUUUUGGGGUCAUAUUUUGGGGUCACUCGGGGUCAUAUUUUGGGGUCACUCGGGGUCCCAUUUUGGGGUCCCAUUUGGGGUCAUUUUGGGGUCCCAUUUUGGGGUCCCUGGGGUUUGGGGUCCCAUUUUGGGGUCCCAUUUGGGGUCAUAUUUUGGGGUCACUCGGGGUCACAUUUUGGGGUCACUCGGGGUCACAAUUUGGGGUCCCAUUUGGGGUCAUUUUGGGGUCUUUUCGGGGUCCCUUUUUGGGGUCUCUCAGGGUCAUAUUUUGGGGUCACUUGGGUCCACAUUUUGGGGUCAUUUUGGGGUCCCAUUUGGGGUCAUUUUGGGGUCCCUGGGGUUUGGGGUCCCAAUUUUGGGGUCCCAAUUUGGAGUCAUUUUGGGGUCCCAUUUUGGGGUCUCUCGGGGUCCCAUUUUGGGGUCCCAUUUUGGAGUCCCAUUUGGGGGCAUUUUGGGGUCAUUUUGGGGUCCCAUCUUGGGGUCUCUCAGGGUCCCAUUUUGGGGUCACUCAGGGUCACAAUUUGGGGUCACUUUGGGUCAUAUUUUGGGGUCCCAUUUUGGGGUCUCUCGGGGUCCCAUUUUGGGGUCAUUUUGGGGUCCCUGGGGUUUGGGGUCCCAUUUUGGGGUCGUUUUGGGGUGACGUUUUGGGGUGUCCCCGCAGCCGGCCCCGUCAUCAUGUCGCUGGAGGAGAAGAUGGAGGCCGACGCGCGCUCCAUCUACGUCGGCAA
rnacentral:lncRNA from 1 species